GACGAACGCUGGCGGCGUGCUUAACACAUGCAAGUCGAACGGAAAGGCCCUGCUUUUGUGGGGUUCUCGAGUGGCGAACGUGUGAGUAACACGUGAGUAACCUGCCCUUGACUUUGGGAUAACUUCAGGAAACUGGGGCUAAUACCGGAUAGGAGCUCCUGCUGCAUUGUGGUGGUUGGAAAUUUUCGGCGGUUGGGGUUGGACUCGCGGCUUAUCAGCUUGUUGGUGGGGUAGUUGCUUACCAAGGCUUUGACGGGUAGCCGGCCUGAGAGGGUGACCGGCCAAAAUGGGACUGAGAUACGGCCCAGACUGCUACGGGAGGCAGCAGUGGGGAAUAUUGCAAAAUGGGCGGAAGCCUGAUGCAGCAACGCCGCGUGCGGGAUGACGGCCUUCGGGUUGUAAACCGCUUUCGCCUGUGACGAAGCGUGAGUGACGGUAAUGGGUAAAGAAGCACCGGCUAACUACGUG
rnacentral:rRNA from 1 species